rnacentral:rRNA from 1 species
AUUGAACGCUGGCGGCAGGCCUAACACAUGCAAGUCGAACGAGUGGCGGACGGGUGAGUAAUGUCUGGGAAACUGCCCGAUGGAGGGGGAUAACUACUGGAAACGGUAGCUACUACCGCAUACCAUCGGAUGUGCCCCGAUGGGAUUAGCUCGUAGGUGGGGUAACGGCUCACCUAGGCGACUAUCCCUAGCUGGUCUGAGAGGAUGACCAGCCACCAUGGAACUGAGACACGGUCCAGACUCCUACGGGAGGCAGCAGUGGGGAAUAUGGGACAAUGGGCGCAAGCCUGAUGCAGCCAUGCCGCGUGUAUGAAGAAGGCCUUCGGGUUGUAAAGUACUUUCAGCGAGGAGGCGUUACUCGCAGAAGAAGCACCGGCUAACUAAGUGCCAGCAGCCGCGGUAAUUC